GCCUGGGUAGCUCAGUGGUUUAGCAUCUGACUUUAGCUCAGGUUGUGAUUCUGGGGUCCUGGGAUCCAUUCCCAAGUCAGGCU
rnacentral:tRNA from 1 species